CCUACGGGAGGCAGCAGUAGGGAAUCUUCCGCAAUGGACGAAAGUCUGACGGAGCAACGCCGCGUGAACGAUGAAGGCCUUCGGGUCGUAAAGUUCUGUUGUCAGGGAAGAACAAGUACCGGAGUAACUGCCGGUACCUUGACGGUACCUGACCAGAAAGCCACGGCUAACUACGUGCCAGCAGCCGCGGUAAUACGUAGGUGGCAAGCGUUGUCCGGAAUUAUUGGGCGUAAAGCGCGCGCAGGCGGUCCUUUAAGUCUGAUGUGAAAGCCCACGGCUCAACCGUGGAGGGUCAUUGGAAACUGGGGGACUUGAGUGCAGAAGAGGAAAGCGGAAUUCCACGUGUAGCGGUGAAAUGCGUAGAGAUGUGGAGGAACACCAGUGGCGAAGGCGGCUUUCUGGUCUGUAACUGACGCUGAGGCGCGAAAGCGUGGGGAGCAAACAGGAUUAGAUACCCUGGUAGUCCACGCCGUAAACGAUGAGUGCUAAGUGUUAGGGGGUUUCCGCCCCUUAGUGCUGCAGCUAACGCAUUAAGCACUCCGCCUGGGGAGUACGGCCGCAAGGCUGAAACUCAAAGGGAAUUUGACGG
rnacentral:rRNA from 1 species